rnacentral:sRNA from 1 species
UACAGAGCUGGACAGGGUAGGAGGCGAAAGAUAUUUUGUGAGUUUGGGUAGCUCGAAUGAACCGGGAGUGAUAGAGAUAGGUGGCCGGGCUUAAGCCCAAGAUCAUCCUUAGAACCCUUUCUGUUGGUUCUGAGAUUUGUUUUACAUUCCUGGGGCAACAGUGCGGCGGUCCACGGAAAAACAUUAUGCACCCGGUCACUUCGUCAUUGAUUUCCUUGACAUGUCAUACAUACACUGUUCUGUCCGCAAUAGGAUGGGUGUUUGCAUGCAGAUAUCCACAGUUUUAUUGGGGGCAUUGAGAGGAACAAUCAACUUCCAAGGAAGAA